ensembl:lncRNA
UCAGAAUCUACAGAAACAGCGGCGCCUGUCUUGUGUUGUGGACUGUUUUGCCUGUAAUUCUGUACAAUACGCGCAGGCAUAUCUCAUGAUCGCAUUGAUCGAUUUGAAUGGUUUGUUUUAAUCGUCUGAGCCUGUAGAAUUGUGGGAGCAUUUGUGGAAAUAACACCAUUCACCACACACCAUACGUGCGGGCAUGAAGGCUGUGUUACGGUAUGUUACGUCCCUGGUCUAGGGUCAGGGACAUAACAAAUGGGACAUAGGAGCAGCAACAACACUUAUGGCUAACCGUUUAUUACAAACAAGGACAUUGAAACAACAAAACACACACAAAACAGGUCUGGGCAGUCUAAGUUAUUCUUGUCUUCUGGUCACAAUCCUUCUUGCUUCACACCAACACUCUCUUCGCAUCACCAACAACACUCUCUCCUCACACCACAUCCUCCUCUUGUCCCAAAGCAGACGCCAUUUUGAGUCCUCUUCCCUAUUACAGCCCACCAAUCAUGGCAGGAAGUGGGAGGAGUCCAAUCAUGGAGCCACCUGCAACAUUACGGAGAGAGAGAGAGAGAGACACACAAAGACAUGGUCAAGCAGAGUUUUUUGGAUGAUGAGUCUCAGCUUGUGGAGAAACUACAGCAGCAGAUGCUGGAUCAGGAAGAGCUUUCAAAUGCUAAUGAGGAGGAGAGAGGCGGGAUGAGGAGGGGAGCGACCUAUAGAAGUUGAGGGGACAUUAGUGGAAAUGACAUCAUCACACCAUUCACCAAUUACAAUGUCUGGUGCAGACAGUUUUAAUUCUAUUCAUUAUUCUAAAAUCACUGUUUUUACAGCCUUUUGCAUGAAGUAACUAAACAAAUACAUUUGUGCUCAUUUUCAGAGAGCAACUGCAAUGAUGACAUAAGGGAACAAAUUCCAGAUCAGACUGUUUGAACUGCCGCUCUCUUCUUCAUCAUCUGGAAACGACUCUCUUGCUGCUCAUUUUUCUGUUCCAGCAACAUCCUGAGUGUCGCAGAUAUGCUGGACAAUCUAGGGAUAAACUAAACAUCUAGGUCACCAUCCCACAUGCCUCACAUCCUCUUUGCAUUGUGGUCUAUCCAUAUCAGCUAUGGCUCAUGUUUUUCUUCAGCCAAUUAACAUUUAUUUGUUCAAUUUCAGGUCGACACUUUUUUUUGUGAAGUGAUUGUCAAUGUGAAACCACAGCACAGCACAUGGUGACACAACAAAAUGUGUCCUCUGCUUUUAACCAUCACCCUUGGUGAGCGGUGGGCAGCCAGUAGUGCAUGCCUGCAGGAAAGUUCCAUUUGCACUGAGAGAGAAAUUUAAGAAACAAACUUGCAUGCAUGGAAAGUUAUUGAACGUUAUAAAGGAAGAUUGAUGAACUGACUGAUUGGGUGAGAUCUCAUACUGCAGAAGACAAAUGAUGAAUUACAAAUAUGUUUGGAUGCUAGAGAUGCUGUGACGCUAGCUGUGAUUUCUUAUUUUUCCCUUCGACUGCUGUGCAACGUCUCAGAUAGCCAGAGAGCAGGGGGAGAAGUUCUUUUGGGUGUGGAAGAAAGAGGGCAGAGAUGAUCCAUAGAAAGGAAAAGUGAGGAGAAUGUUAGUGGCGGUUUUCAAGGGUAAGGAGAAGAACGAGUCAGAGAUAUGAAAGAUGUGAAAGAGUGCAGGAAGGUGAGACCGAGUGAAGGUUAUGUAGAAUGAGUAAUUAAUGGUGGUCAGUCUUGGAUCCGAUAGGUAAAGUGAGGGUGAAGGACAGAAUGUGGUGGUCAGAGAUGUGAAGUGGAGUGGAAGAAAGGACGGUAGGUGGAGAUGGACGAAUGAAGACCAGGUCCAGGUCCAUUCCCUUUCCUCUUUUGUUGCUGUUGGCCCAGGAUAAAGAGUGGAGAUUAAUGAGGCCCAAUAUAUGGUGCGAGGCAUGUAAGACAUAAAAUAUCCGUACAGGUUGCAUCAACAGAAAAAACUGCUCACAUUCCCUUUAAAUGUUAGUUACUUUUACCUGAGCAUGCAUGUCUUACGAAUAAGUGAAGCGCUAUAAUAAAAUUUCAUACUGCAUCA